CCCGCACAAGCGGUGGAGCAUGUGGUUUAAUUCGACGCAACGCGAAGAACCUUACCAGGGCUUGACAUCCCCUGACCGCGUAUGAAAGUACGUUUUCACCCUCGGGUGACAGGGAGACAGGUGGUGCAUGGUUGUCGUCAGCUCGUGUCGUGAGAUGUUGGGUUAAGUCCCGCAACGAGCGCAACCCCUACGUUUAGUUGCUAACGCGUGAAGGCGAGCACUCUAGACGAACUGCCGUUGACAAAACGGAGGAAGUGGGGAUGACGUCAAAUCAUCAUGCCCCUUAUGUUCUGGGCUACACACGUGCUACAAUGGCCGGUACAGACGGACGCAAAGCCGCGAGGUGGAGCAAAUCCUAAAAAGCCGGUCUCAGUUCGGAUUGCAGGCUGCAAUUCGCCUGCAUGAAGUCGGAAUCGCUAGUAAUCGCAGGUCAGCAUACUGCGGUGAAUACGUUCCCGGGCCUU
rnacentral:rRNA from 1 species